rnacentral:rRNA from 1 species
UACAGAGGGUUCAAGCGUUGUUCGGAAUUAUUGGGCGUAAAGCGCGUGUAGGCGGCUUUGCAAGUCGGGUGUGAAAGCCCUCAGCUCAACUGAGGAAGUGCGCCCGAAACUGCAGAGCUUGAGUGCCGGAGAGGGUGGCGGAAUUCCCCAAGUAGAGGUGAAAUUCGUAGAUAUGGGGAGGAACACCGGUGGCGAAGGCGGCCACCUGGACGGUAACUGACGCUGAGGUGCGAAAGCGUGGGGAGCGAACAGG